rnacentral:rRNA from 1 species
GCCGUGGGCGCUGGAGAAUUGAGGGGGGCUGCUCCUAGUACGAGAGGACCGGAGUGGACGCAUCACUGGUGUUCGGGUUGUCAUGCCAAUGGCACUGCCCGGUAGCUAAAUGCGGAAGAGAUAAGUGCUGAAAGCAUCUAAGCACGAAACUUGCCCCGAGAUGAGUUCUCCCUGAGACUUUAAGUCUCCUGAAGGAACGUUAAAGACGAUGACGUUGAUAGGUCGGGUGUGUAAGCGCAGCGAUGCGUUGAGCUAACCGAUACUAAUGAACCGUGAGGCUUAACCUUACAACGCCGAAGGUGUUU